rnacentral:rRNA from 1 species
GGGUCAGUAGGUUGGUCGUGCCACCGGUACGUACUGGUCUCACUGAUUCCUCCUUCCUGAAGAACCGUAAUGCCAUUAAUUUGGUGUUGCGGGGAGACAGGACUGUUACUUUGAAAAAAUUAGAGUGUUUAAAGCAAGCUAACGCUUGAAUACAUUAGCAUGGUAUAAUGAAAUAGGACGAUCGAUCCUAUUUUGUUGGUUUCUAGGAUUGACGUA